rnacentral:rRNA from 1 species
UACGUAGGUAGCGAGCGUUGUUCGGAAUUACUGGGCGUAAAGAGUGUGUAGGCGGCGCUCUAAGUUCGGUGUGAAAUCUCUCGGCUUAACUGGGAGGGUGCGCCGGAAACUGGAGUGCUCGAACGUGGGAGAGGAAAGCGGAAUUCCUGGUGUAGCGGUGAAAUGCGUAGAUAUCAGGAGGAACACCUGCGGUGUAGACGGCUUUCUGGACCAUUGUUGACGCUGAGACACGAAAGCGUGGGUAGCAAACAGG